rnacentral:SRP_RNA from 1 species
GCCGGGCAUGGUGGUGCGUGCCUGUAGUCCUAGCUACUUGGGAGGCUGAGAUAGGAGGAUCACUUGAGCCCAAGAGUUGAAGGUUGCUGUGAGCCAAGAUCGCACCACUACAAUCCAGCUUGGGCGUCAGAGUAAGACCCUGUCUCAA